GAGAGGAAUAACGUCGUGGGAGAGACACAUAUUUUUGGUAAAAAACACCCUGAAUAUGUUUAUAACUACAAAUGAACUUUCUUCUGUCGAUUUUCUUUUUUUUAUGUCACAAUUCCAACCCUCUUCCUUUAUCCGGGCUUGGGACUGGCAAAAGUGACCCAAAAGAGACACUCUGGCGAAGUUACUUUGUGGGUGUUUUUUGUUUUUAAGUUGAGUUUUUUACAUUUACAUCCCGCCCUGAUUGUAAGCCAGGGCGGCUUCAUUUGCAGUCUGGACGCGGAGGGGUGAACGUCUCCUGCUCUGACUGCAGCUGGGAGGGACUGCUGCGCGAGGACUAGGCCGCCUGAAUGACAGAUGAAGGUCUCUCAGUGUUGGGAUCCUGUUGCAGUCUUCCAGUCUUACAGGCCCUGCAGAUCCUGGUGCAGCAUUUGGCAGCAGGGAGUGGGGAGACCAUCUCUCUGAGAGAUGCAGGUCUGGCUGUUCUGACUGAGGAGGAGCUGUAUCAGGAGUCUCUUUGGUUACACUGAAGAGAGAGGAGGACACACUGAGGACAGAGAUGAAGGACCAGCCUGGAUACCUUCCUCUAGUCAUGAGUAUCACUGUGAAAGGCCUGGCCUCUUUAGUGUAAGGAGGGAGGGAGAGGGAGAGAGAGAGACCAUGCAACUUGUAAAUCCCAUUUGAACUGAUACACUCAGUAUUCCAUUCCAUGUCUUACUCUUGCACUAGUUGAGCCACAGAACUAGUGAUCAACAGAGUAUGUAUCCUUGUAAUGUUUUCAGUAAAGUUCAACAAACGACA